GAGUUAUCUGAACCUUCGGGGAACGAUAACGGCGUCGAGCGGCGGACGGGUGAGUAAUGCCUAGGAAAUUGCCCUGAUGUGGGGGAUAACCAUUGGAAACGAUGGCUAAUACCGCAUGAUGCCUACGGGCCAAAGAGGGGGACCUUCGGGCCUCUCGCGUCAGGAUAUGCCUAGGUGGGAUUAGCUAGUUGGUGAGGUAAGGGCUCACCAAGGCGACGAUCCCUAGCUGGUCUGAGAGGAUGAUCAGCCACACUGGAACUGAGACACGGUCCAGACUCCUACGGGAGGCAGCAGUGGGGAAUAUUGCACAAUGGGCGCAAGCCUGAUGCAGCCAUGCCGCGUGUGUGAAGAAGGCCUUCGGGUUGUAAAGCACUUUCAGUCGUGAGGAAGGUAGUGUAGUUAAUAGCUGCAUUAUUUGACGUUAGCGACAGAAGAAGCACCGGCUAACUCCGUGCCAGCAGCCGCGGUAAUACGGAGGGUGCGAGCGUUAAUCGGAAUUACUGGGCGUAAAGCGCAUGCAGGUGGUUUGUUAAGUCAGAUGUGAAAGCCCGGGGCUCAACCUCGGAAUAGCAUUUGAAACUGGCAGACUAGAGUACUGUAGAGGGGGGUAGAAUUUCAGGUGUAGCGGUGAAAUGCGUAGAGAUCUGAAGGAAUACCGGUGGCGAAGGCGGCCCCCUGGACAGAUACUGACACUCAGAUGCGAAAGCGUGGGGAGCAAACAGGAUUAGAUACCCUGGUAGUCCACGCCGUAAACGAUGUCUACUUGGAGGUUGUGGCCUUGAGCCGUGGCUUUCGGAGCUAACGCGUUAAGUAGACCGCCUGGGGAGUACGGUCGCAAGAUUAAAACUCAAAUGAAUUGACGGGGGCCCGCACAAGCGGUGGAGCAUGUGGUUUAAUUCGAUGCAACGCGAAGAACCUUACCUACUCUUGACAUCCAGAGAACUUUCCAGAGAUGGAUUGGUGCCUUCGGGAACUCUGAGACAGGUGCUGCAUGGCUGUCGUCAGCUCGUGUUGUGAAAUGUUGGGUUAAGUCCCGCAACGAGCGCAACCCUUAUCCUUGUUUGCCAGCGAGUAAUGUCGGGAACUCCAGGGAGACUGCCGGUGAUAAACCGGAGGAAGGUGGGGACGACGUCAAGUCAUCAUGGCCCUUACGAGUAGGGCUACACACGUGCUACAAUGGCGCAUACAGAGGGCGGCCAACUUGCGAAAGUGAGCGAAUCCCAAAAAGUGCGUCGUAGUCCGGAUUGGAGUCUGCAACUCGACUCCAUGAAGUCGGAAUCGCUAGUAAUCGUGGAUCAGAAUGCCACGGUGAAUACGUUCCCGGGCCUUGUACACACCGCCCGUCACACCAUGGGAGUGGGCUGCAAAAGAAGUAGGUAGUUUAACC
rnacentral:rRNA from 1 species